rnacentral:rRNA from 1 species
UGCUAAGAGGGACAGCCUAUGUCCUAUCAGCUUGUUGGUAAGGUAAUGGCUUACCAAGGCUAUGACGGGUAUCCGGCCUGAGAGGGUGAACGGACACACUGGAACUGAGACACGGUCCAGACUCCUACGGGAGGCAGCAGUAGGGAAUAUUGCUCAAUGGGGGAAACCCUGAAGCAGCAACGCCGCGUGGAGGAUGAAGGUUUUAGGAUUGUAAACUCCUUUUGUUAGAGAAGAUAAUGACGGUAUCUAACGAAUAAGCACCGGCUAACUCCGUGCCAGCAGCCGCGGUAAUACGGAGGGUGCAAGCGUUACUCGGAAUCACUGGGCGUAAAGAGCGCGUAGGCGGGAUAGUCAGUCAGGUGUGAAAUCCUAUGGCUUAACCAUAGAACUGCAUUUGAAACUACUAUUCUAGAGUGUGGGAGAGGUAGGUGGAAUUCUUGGUGUAGGGGUAAAAUCCGUAGAGAUCAAGAGGAAUACUCAUGGCCCGGACCUGCUGGAACAUUACCUGACGUUGAUUGCGCA